GAUGAAGAACGUAGCGAAAUGCGAUAAGUAGUGUGAAUUGCAGAAUUCAGUGAAUCAUCGAAUCUUUGAACGCACAUUGCGCCCGCUGGAACUCCGGCGGGCACGCCUGUCCGAGCGUCAUUUCAACCCUCAGGCCCCCCUUCGCGGGCGGGCCUGGUGUUGGGGCCCGGCCGCUACCCUGCGGCCGUCCCCUAAAUUCAGUGGCGGCCUCGCCGUGAUCCCUUGCGUAGUAAUGCACCUCGCACCGGAGAGCGCCGUGGCCACGCCGUAAAACCCCCAAUUUUCAAUGGUUGACCUCGGAUCAGGUGGGAAUACCCGCUGAACUUAAGCAUAUCAAUAAGCGGAGGA
rnacentral:misc_RNA from 1 species